AGAGUUUGAUCCUGGCUCAGGACGAACGCUGGCGGCGUGCCUAAUACAUGCAAGUAGAACGCUGAAGAGAGGAGCUUGCUCUUCUUGGAUGAGUUGCGAACGGGUGAGUAACGCGUAGGUAACCUGCCUUGUAGCGGGGGAUAACUAUUGGAAACGAUAGCUAAUACCGCAUAACAAUGGAUGACACAUGUCAUUUAUUUGAAAGGGGCAAAUGCUCCACUACAAGAUGGACCUGCGUUGUAUUAGCUAGUAGGUGAGGUAACGGCUCACCUAGGCGACGAUACAUAGCCGACCUGAGAGGGUGAUCGGCCACACUGGGACUGAGACACGGCCCAGACUCCUACGGGAGGCAGCAGUAGGGAAUCUUCGGCAAUGGGGGCAACCCUGACCGAGCAACGCCGCGUGAGUGAAGAAGGUUUUCGGAUCGUAAAGCUCUGUUGUAAGUCAAGAACGAGUGUGAGAGUGGAAAGUUCACACUGUGACGGUAGCUUACCAGAAAGGGACGGCUAACUACGUGCCAGCAGCCGCGGUAAUACGUAGGUCCCGAGCGUUGUCCGGAUUUAUUGGGCGUAAAGCGAGCGCAGGCGGUUUGAUAAGUCUGAAGUUAAAGGCUGUGGCUCAACCAUAGUUCGCUUUGGAAACUGUCAAACUUGAGUGCAGAAGGGGAGAGUGGAAUUCCAUGUGUAGCGGUGAAAUGCGUAGAUAUAUGGAGGAACACCGGUGGCGAAAGCGGCUCUCUGGUCUGUAACUGACGCUGAGGCUCGAAAGCGUGGGGAGCAAACAGGAUUAGAUACCCUGGUAGUCCACGCC
rnacentral:rRNA from 1 species